rnacentral:rRNA from 1 species
UACAGAGGUCCCAAGCGUUGUUCGGAUUCACUGGGCGUAAAGGGUGCGUAGGUGGUCGGGUAAGUCUGAUGUGAAAUCUCCAAGCUCAACUUGGAAACUGCAUCGGAUACUAUUCGGCUCGAGGGUUGGAGGGGGGACUGGAAUGCUUGGUGUAGCAGUGAAAUGCGUAGAUAUCAAGCGGAACACCAGUGGCGAAGGCGAGUCCCUGGACAACUCCUGACACUGAGGCACGAAAGCUAGGGGAGCAAACAGG